ACCAGGGCCUGGGAGGGAUGAUGUACCAAGUGAGCUGAAUGGAAUCACUUGGCAGCACUGUAGGCCCAAGCCAGAGCUGCUCUGACAUCCCAGGCCCAGG